GUUGUGGUCUUGAACCGUGGCUUCCGGAGCUAACGCGUUAAAUCGACCGCCUGGGGAGUACGGCCGCAAGGUUAAAACUCAAAUGAAUUGACGGGGGCCCGCACAAGCGGUGGAGCAUGUGGUUUAAUUCGAUGCAACGCGAAGAACCUUACCUACUCUUGACAUCCAGAGAAGACUGCAGAGAUGCGGUUGUGCCUUCGGGAACUCUGAGACAGGUGCUGCAUGGCUGUCGUCAGCUCGUGUUGUGAAAUGUUGGGUUAAGUCCCGCAACGAGCGCAACCCUUAUCCUUUGUUGCCAGCACUUCGGGUGGGAACUCAAGGGAGACUGCCGGUGAUAAACCGGAGGAAGGUGGGGAUGACGUCAAGUCAUCAUGGCCCUUACGAGUAGGGCUACACACGUGCUACAAUGGCGUAUACAAAGAGAAGCGACCUCGCGAGAGCAAGCGGACCUCAUAAAGUACGUCGUAGUCCGGAUUGGAGUCUGCAACUCGACUCCAUGAAGUCGGAAUCGCUAGUAAUCGUAGAUCAGAAUGCUACGGUGAAUACGUUCCCGGGCCUUGUACACACCGCCCGUCACACCAUGGGAGUGGGUUGCAAAAGAAGUAGGUAGCUUAACCUUCGGGAGGGCGCUUACCACUUUGUGAUUCAUGACUGGGGUGAAGUCGUAACAAGGGUAACC
rnacentral:rRNA from 3 species